UUACCUGUUUAUUGGUGCAGUAUUAUAGAUUGGUACGAGAGGGCGAGGAAAUGGAAUAACAUCAUGAAUGGUUGGAGUGAUCAAGAUUAAAGAUGCGUACGGAUAAUAUAGGAUUUCUUAAUAUUUUUAUUAUUGAGAGUGAUGGAUGAAUGGAUAAGAGUUUUUAUAGACGCGUACGAAUAAUAUAGGUUUGUAGAUUUUUUAUUAUUGGGAGUGAUGUGAUUGAAUGGACAAGAGUUACUUUUAUAUUUCGAAUAUUCUAUUUUAUCAUUAAUGGUGUGCGUGAAUGAUGUAUUGAUUUAUUUAAUGAUAUAUAUAUGUGGUAUCAAUUUCUGUUUUGGAUCUUUGGUUGCAUUAAAUAAUAAACAUACGAUGAUGAAAUAUUUUCCAUUGCGAUAUCCAUUGAGCGUAUAAGCAUGAUUUGUAUUGUAUUGCAAUACCCUGUAUGCAUAUAAUCACGAUAUAUUUCGUUGCGAUAUGGUUGAAUCAUAUGACGAUGGUACGUACGUCGUUGCGAUACCUUGUAAGCAUAUUACGAUACUUUCUCAUCGUUGCGAUAUCCGUUGAGCAUAUAAUGACGACCCAUAUUUCGUUGCGAUACCCUUUAAGCAUGUCGCAACGACAUAUUUCGUUGGGAUAUGGUUGACGC
rnacentral:lncRNA from 1 species